UUCUAGUAUAAUAAUCUGGUUUGUAACAUAUUAAGAAUAAUUAUAAAGAAAAAAUAUUCUUAAUUUUAUUCUUUCUUGCAAAAAAAUAUAAAAUAAUGGAUGAAUACCACAGAUGUAGGAUAAAAAAAUCUAGAACUGGUUUGUGAACGUGCGUACAUAGCUAUAGUCCAAUUUGGAAGAUCCGUAUAUUUAUACAUAUCUAGAUUAGGUAACUUAUUAUAAACAAAAUUAUUGAGAUAUUUAGAGCCACAUUACAAUACAGAUAGGCCUAAUUAAUUAAUAUACUUUUAGAUUAUUGAAAAUCAAUGACGUCAAAGGACUGAAUUUUUAUGGUAUCCUCUUUCAAAACCUAAAAACUUUAUGUAAAUUUUGACUAUUAUCAAUAGUUUAAGCGUCUGCAAAUGAGUUUGGCAACUUUUUGUAAAAUGUUUUUGAUAUGCAAAUAGAAAUGGCGCUUACGCGUGCCUUUUUUUUUAAAGGAAUAACACGUUUUUUAUGUAUACCGGACUAUAUCUCUAUUAUGAAAUCUUCUCCCUACCGAGUGAGCUACUGGUUUAAUCACUUAAUCUAGUGUCAAAGAUUUUUUAAAACCGCCUGACGGCCUCUGACAUGGAAUGAAAUGAAAAUUGUUAAAAUUUAAAUGUAUUUAUAUAAAGAAAAUAAUGUAAUUUUGUAUUUACUAUAUAUAUUAGCUUUACUUAGGCACUAUACACAUACACGGUUAUGUUUUAAUGCCUAUUUCACAAAUGAAUCCUGUCUUUUGCAUCAGAAUUCUAAUGUCAUCUGCUUUAUAGAUUGCACCCAAAAUUGCUACAUAAAAUAUAUACGUCAAAAGUUUGGCGAAAACUCUAUGUACAUUUAUUUAAAUAGUAAUACUGUUAUUGUUAUUGUACUUAUCACAAUAAUAAUAUAACUUUAACAGACUAUAAUUCACUGCGCUAUCUAGAUGCACUAAGUGCAGUUCUUUGUUAUUUGACAUUAUAAAUCAGGUUCAUUGACUUGCUUGUUGCUAAUAAACGCAACGCCUAGUCUAGCAACAGAAGUUAUUUCUAUUGCUUUUCGUUGCUAGGAAUAAAGAUCCAAUUUACUAUUAUUUAGGGAUUAAAAUAGGUUCCAAACUAUGGUCCAUAGAUUCAUUUUUUUUUUAAUAAAAACAUGAUUUAAAUCUUAGCUAUAAUUAACGCUUAUAUAAAAUAGUUCACAAUAUUAAUUAUUAAGUAAGUAUUAUACUAUUGUUUUACUGUAAGUCAAAAGAUUUCUAGAAAUUAUAGUAUUCUUAGUUAGUAUCAUCUUAGAAAUCUUAAAAUAUCACGUUAGAUGGAAAAACUGAAAAUUUUUAAAAAGGCCCAAGUUUAGCACAUCACUGUAACACAAGCUACCUGCGUCUGGGCACAGACGUCGGGCGGUCGUCGCCGUCUCGCUAGGGUAACGUUUUGGUCGCCACGACCUUGUCCGUCCGGCGUGCGCGCAGAUAACUGGGCUGUUGGCUUUGUGAUAAGCUUUUGCUUUUAGCGUUCUUUGAUGUUGUGUGUUAUGUGUACUUGAAAAUAAGAUUGUAUAUGAGUUCUUUUUUCUAAAUAUUUUAAAUACACAUUUGAAUUAAGUAGUUGUCAUACUUUUAGGUCCUAUAUUUAAAGACACAUACCUAAGUUAUAGUCUAUGCAUAUUUUCACUCAAACUUCUGUUGGUUGGUUACUAUAUAGUAUCUGGAAUAAAAAAUGUUAUAUUUUAAUUAAGUAUACCUUUUCCAAAACUCUAUUUACCUACCGAGUCCCAAGUUCACUGACAACUGUUUGUAAAAAAUUAUACAAUUUUCGAAUUAAAAGUUGUUUUAAGAAAGAAAAACGGAUUCUGUGACCGGUGAACUUGAGUCUAAGAAACUUACAUUAUUCAGAAUUUCUAUAAGUACUAAUACUAAAUUCGAAGUGUAUUACGAAAUAAAUAUAACGUAAUUUGGACGCUUCGUCUUGUUAGACAAUACAACAUCAUUUGCUUUGCAUACUACGUCAAUCUGUUGUUGUCACAUCUAGCAUUACUUAUAAUUUAUGUGUCUGUGUUUGUGUUGGUAAAAAUAAUUGUCUUCUCUUUGGUUUAGUUAGUUUAAUUUAGCUAAGUAGUUAUUAAGUUAUUUUGAAUCAUUUAUUUAAUUAUGAAAAAGAGAUUUAAAAGUAAGAAAAAAAAAAGCUUUUCUUUAAUUCAAGUAUUUAAGUACUAGUUACAUACUUACAUUGUUUAUCAGCUGACAAAAUACAAAUAAUUUCAUGAUUUAAUAUAAAGUAAAAUAAUGAAAAAAUAUUAUUAAUGUACAAACUAAAUAACGUCAUUGUCUGUUAUUUUAAUUCAAUAAAAUGUCCAACCAGAGUCUGUUACGAUGUCAAAAAACAUAUUGCGGGUCAAUUGAACACUGACAAAUUAUAAAAAAAGUGUUAUUAUAAUUUAUAUCUUGGUAUAAAAAUAUCUGAUACAUACUUUUUUGACACGGCAGAUGAUGAUAAUUUUUUUGAUCAUGUAUCAGAAACUGUGAAGAAUCAUUAAUUAAAGUUUUCGAGUUUUUUUUUAAACGUAAAGCUACGAUACACACUUUUUAUUGAUCUGAUGCCAUUACUGUCUAUAACAUUUUUUUUUAUUAAUAAAUAAAUUAAUGUGAUUUUAAUAUAACAUAAUAACUUAAUAAAAAUGAUAGAAAUUUUGAUAGCUGUAUUUCAUAAUAUAAUUCAUAAAAUAUUAUGAUCAAUAACAACAUAAAUAUGUAUGUUUAAUUUAUAUAUUAUUUUGUAUAAAUAGAUAAUAUUUUGUAAAAUUUUGUAGAUACUUGAUAUUUUUGUGCCAGGGUGUUCUGAUUUUUCAACAGGUUCUAAAUUCUACUUAUUUUGGGCAGAAUCAGUAAGAAGCAGGAAUAUGAAAAUCGUCCAGUUUGGAAAAAUUGUAAUAUGUACCUAGGUAAGGUCAUCAAAACUAAAUUACUAUUUCUUUUUUAUAAGUCCACCUCAACCUUCAAUUACGAUUAACUAUAAAAUAGAGCCUACCACUACUAAUUUGUGAAAUAACUGGUUUAAUAGCAAAUCUAAAAAAAUAUAAAAAUGUUAUCACAUUACCAGCGUCAGUAAAUAAUUAAUUUAUGUUGCCAAAACCUGAAUAUUAAUGGCACGCUUUGAAAUAGGCCCAAUAAAUUAAUUUUGACGCAAUUCCGUGUAAGCACUUAAUAUAGCCACAUCAGUUUUUUAUAAUGCAUGAUAAAUGUCAAGAUAAUAAUUAUUUUAUCUAUUUAUAUUGAUUUCCUUAUUAUUUUAUUUUUAACUUUUUUAUCUUUUUGAGUUUUGAGGCAUAACAAUGUUUUUCAUUUCCGCACCAAAAGUAGCAAUGUUUGGUAAAGACUAGACACUAGCACAUCAAGUUACUACAAUAUAUUUAAUUUAAACUUUAUCCCUAAAGUAUAAGAUACAAUAUUGUUCGGAAAAUUAUAUAGAUUGGAAAAGCUUGAUAUGCUGGACUGGACUGAAAAUGAAAAGACUUAUUCUUUAACGGAAGCAGAUGCUAACACUCAUUAUGACCUUUCAUCAUCACCUUCAUGAAUCUUUAUUUCUUUGGGGAAGUGACAUCAUCUUUGCAGGAUCCAUAUCAAGGUUCGGUGAUGACGGUCUACUGGCUCAUGCUUCAUCCUAGAAAAAAUAACGAGUGACGGCAACAAGGGUUUGGAGCCAAACACAGAAGACAAGAGAGGUGAAAAUCCGGUGAGAGGCGUCUACUGCUGCCACUGCUGGGCACUUAGUAAAACUUAGCAUCUUCCGUAUCCAAGCGGUGGGCGUCGGACCACUCGACCUUGUGCUCGAGACAACCCUGGCACCACGACAAGCGAUUUCACCUCACCACCACCGAGUGUAGCGGACCACACCACAUACAUUACUGGCUAUGUAUGUGCACACCGAACUAUCGCUGGUCAAACACAGCGAUGUAUAUCAAACAACGCUUGAGCCCGUCCGUUGUUCGCGCUCGGUAUCCGACGCGCGCCUCCAGUCUCGUUUGCCAAUUUCGCGCACAAGUUCAUCGACUCUUCACAAGGAUGCAUGAAUCAAGUGUAAUGAUACGAUACGGCAUCGCCGCUUGUUCCGACCGGACGGUUGCCGCAUUGUUUUAGGAACACUGACCUGAAUUAACAUUGUUUAAUGUUGUAUAGAAUUCAAUGAGUUGUGUAAAUUGUAGCUUUUUAUUUAUACAAUUAGGUACAAUCAAACUUUUUGGCGGUAAAUGAACUUUGUUUAGCGAAGGCGUUGUAUAGAAAAACAUUGUAAAUAAAUAUUAUAUGUUUUACUGUAA